AUACGGAGGGUGCAAGCGUUGUUCGGAUUUACUGGGCGUAAAGAGAUCGUAGGUGGUUUAUUAAGUCGGAUGUGAAAUCCCGGGGCUCAACCUCGGAACUGCAUUCGAUACUGGUAGACUAGAGUUUGGGAGGGGUAAGCGGAAUUCCGUGUGUAGCAGUGAAAUGCGUAGAUAUACGGAGGAACACCUGAGGCGAAGGCGGCUUACUGGACCAAUACUGACACUGAGGAUCGAAAGCGUGGGUAGCAAACAGGAUUAGAAACCCUAGUAGUCC
rnacentral:rRNA from 1 species